rnacentral:rRNA from 1 species
AUGAUUUUUCGCACUAUGUGUGGACCUUCCCGUUGCGGCGAAAGCCAGAUGCUGUUGCCACUCUCACCGCUCUACUCCUAUGCCUCCAUGCAGUUUGGCCGUCCCAUCCAUGUGUUGCAAACAGACAAUGGGAAAGAGUUUGAUAACCUUGCGAUUCGCAACCUUCUCGUCACACAUGACACGAUUUUUCGUCUCACUUGCCCGUCCACUUCGCAACAAAAUGGCCACGCUGAGCACGUGCCUCGCACUCUUAAUGACUGUGUUCGCACCCUCCUCUUUCACGCCAAUGUGCCACGUUUUUGGCCCGACGCGCUUGCCACCGCUUCACUACUCAUCAACAUUCGUUCAUGUCGCAUUCGCGGGAAUUUUGCACCUCAUCACCUUCUGUUCAGCAUUCCACCCUCCUAUGCUGAGCUCCGCAUCUUCGGUUGCCUGUGCUACCCUAGCAUCGCUUCCAAUACUCCUCCUAAGCUUACACCUCAGUGCGUGGCCUGCAUCUUUCUCGGCUAUGCCCCCAACACCAAAGGCUACCGCUUCUAUGAUCAUAUCUCACAUCGGGUGAUCACUUCCCGACACGUUUACUUUGAUGAGAUGGUUUUUCCGUUUCAGCAGGUACCUUCGGAUGUUGCGGCUUUGCCCGCUCCCGGCGAU